rnacentral:rRNA from 1 species
UACAGAGGGGGGCAAGCGUUGUUCGGAAUUACUGGGCGUAAAGGGCGCGUAGGCGGCCUGUUAAGUCGAACGUGAAAUCCCCGGGCUCAACCCGGGAACUGCGUCCGAUACUGGCAGGCUUGAAUCCGGGAGAGGGAUGCGGAAUUCCAGGUGUAGCGGUGAAAUGCGUAGAUAUCUGGAGGAACACCGGUGGCGAAGGCGGCCUUCUGGACAGUGACUGACGCUGAGACGCGAAAGCGUGGGGAGCAAACAGG